AGAACGCUGAAGCUUGGUGCUUGCACCGAGCGGAUGAGUUGCGAACGGGUGAGUAACGCGUAGGUAACCUGCCUGGUAGCGGGGGAUAACUAUUGGAAACGAUAGCUAAUACCGCAUAACAGUAGAUGUUGCAUGACAUCUGCUUGAAAGGGGCAAUUGCUCCACUACCAGAUGGACCUGCGUUGUAUUAGCUAGUUGGUGAGGUAACGGCUCACCAAGGCGACGAUACAUAGCCGACCUGAGAGGGUGAUCGGCCACACUGGGACUGAGACACGGCCCAGACUCCUACGGGAGGCAGCAGUAGGGAAUCUUCGGCAAUGGACGGAAGUCUGACCGAGCAACGCCGCGUGAGUGAAGAAGGUUUUCGGAUCGUAAAGCUCUGUUGUAAGAGAAGAACGAGUGUGAGAGUGGAAAGUUCACACUGUGACGGUAUCUUACCAGAAAGGGACGGCUAACUACGUGCCAGCAGCCGCGGUAAUACGUAGGUCCCGAGCGUUAUCCGGAUUUAUUGGGCGUAAAGCGAGCGCAGGCGGUUAGAUAAGUCUGAAGUUAAAGGCUGUGGCUUAACCAUAGUACGCUUUGGAAACUGUUUAACUUGAGUGCAAGAGGGGAGAGUGGAAUUCCAUGUGUAGCGGUGAAAUGCGUAGAUAUAUGGAGGAACACCGGUGGCGAAAGCGGCUCUCUGGCUUGUAACUGACGCUGAGGCUCGAAAGCGUGGGGAGCAAACAGGAUU
rnacentral:rRNA from 1 species